CAUGAAUCAGGUUAUUGAAAGAAAUGGGAUGGCAGGAAUAUCCUGAAAACGAUGAGAAUUACCUUCCCCUCACAGAGGAUGAGCUCAAAGAGUUCCAAAUUAAAUCAGAGCAGCGAAGAAGAAACGGAUUUGGGAAGAAUGGAUUUCUUCAGGGCCGCAGCUCCAGCCUGUUGUUCCACUGGAGAAGCACUUUUAAGACAAAGAUUGAGGACUCGGAAACAGAAACUAGUAGCAGCGAGACUUCAGAUGACGAUGCCUGAGAGUGGGCACAAGAAAAUUAAAAUAAAUAAAACCAACCCAAUAAACUCAGUUCAUAGUUCAACAUGUGUUUGGGGUUGUAUAAACUAAACAGAGUUUAUUCUGUCUCCAGUCUGUUCAGUUUUUUCUUCUGUUGAUACUUCAUGCACAAGGGAAAUAAUUGUAUCCCAAAGAAGAGAGAAAUUGGCUUCUUUAGCUUUUUCUUUUGGUUUUGCCCUAAUGCUUAAUAGAAGUUUGUGCAGCUAGCAAAUUUUGACAGAAAUCCCUUGUGGGGCAGUGCACAAGUUCAGUCUGGUAAGCAGGAUACAAGUGGCUGACUGAUCUUUGCAACAACAAGCUUCUAACAGUGCCGCCCGCAUUACACAAUGUUGUGCGGUAACAAAUGUGCUAAAACAAUCAUUGUCAAUGACAAAAUGGCUAUUGAAGUUCUAAUUAUGUUAAAUUAAUGCUAAUAACAUGAAUUUUUUAUUUUAUUUUUUUUUUUGGCGGCUCGGGGAGCUUCAUCACUUAACCAGGCGUUUGUGGUUUUCUUUUUUUGGGUACAGCUGUAAAAUAUUUGGAUAUAGGAAUUGUUUGUGUUCUUCUUCUUGCAGCCUUGAUAUUCAGGGUGGAUUGUAAAAUAUAAAUUUUUUGUGAGAUUUCAAAGAUUAAGAUUAUUUUGAUAACAUUAUUUACAGAUUUAAAAAAGUGACUAUCACAUUGAGUCUGUAUGAGGGGGAAAAACUACUGCAUCAAAAAUAACUAACUUGGAAUAAAUAUUUUGCAUCAGUUUGCCAAUUCUAAUUGUCUUUCUUAUGUAAGAAAAACUUUCCUCUAAAGGGAUGUGCAACUUUGGGGUUUAAAUAGCACUGGGGAUAAAGAGCUGCUUCUCCCACUGUGUUUUUUCCACUUGGCAAACAUUGCUGUAGUGCUGGGACUGCAGAAGCUGAACUCUUCCUUUACAAAGGGAGAGGGAGAGAACAAUGGAGAGAUGACAGCCCAUGUUCGUUGUUUUUGGUUUUGUUUUUUUUUUUUAAGAAAUUAAAGAAAAUAAUUUGAAUUAUCUUCCACUCAAGCAGUUUGCUUUAUUUUCCGCUUCAUACAAAAUAGUGGAGCUCGACCGGUCGGUGUCACUGCCUGUUCCUGGUGCAAUGCUGCUGUCUGUGUUCACAACGUGGCAAGGGAAUGUCUGAAUCCAAAGCUGUUUUCAUUGAAAUCUUUUUUAAAAAAUCAUGAAAACAUUUCUAUUAGAUUAAAAAGGAUUUUACAAACAACUCAGGUGUGGCCUAAGCUAUUUCAGUGUCCGUUCAGCUGGUAACACAAGCCGUGUGUGUUUGUGGCCGGGGGUUGGGCUGGGGUCGUGCCUCAGCGGGGAAGCUGGGCGUUGCAGGGCAGCACGGCUUGGUUAUGGAGCUGCUUCUCCAUGCUGAGGGGUGUGCGUGUGUGUGUGUAUAUAUCGCUUCUGUCUGU